UUCUGUUUUUUGGUCCUUGAAGAAUUGUCACACUGUCUUCCACAAUGGCUGAACUAAUUUACACUCCCACCAAUCGUGUAUAAAUGUUCCUUCACCAUAACCUUGCCAAUAUCUGUUAUUUUUUGACUUCUUAAUGAUAGCCAUUCUGACUGGUGGGAGAUGGUAUCUCACUGUGGUUUUGAUUUGCAUUUCCCUAGUUAUCAGUGACAUUGAGCUUGUUUUCAUUUGCUUAUU